GCCACGUGAAUGGAAGACAUGGAGAUACGGACUGUUAACACCUUGUCAAACAUUUAUUGUCCCUUCCACCUCUAAACUUCUGUGAUAAUAGGUGAACAGGACCCACCUGGUGCAGAAUACUGCGAUACACACUGCGGAAUAAUUCAGAUCAACGUCGAGUCCUGCAGGCUCCACUUAUGAAGAAAGAGACAUUAUACAAAUGCGAGCUGUUGUCACAACAAUGAUAAGAAAUCAGGAGUCGAAAGAUGUGGAGUAAGGGGGAAUUUCAGAGAAACCACAAAACACAAAAUAGGAAACAGAGACAGGAGAAGAUUGCUAUGACAAAAAUGCAGAAGGUGAAAUCUUUGGCAGCCUCUUACUUCCCUGGAGAAUAUGAUAUUGUCAGGCUGAGGUGGAAGAAUCACAUGGUCAUACUGUAAGUGCUAUGGUUCUGAGUGGUAAUGUUAUUGAUCAGUUUUCAACCUGAGAUUUGUAGUGAUAAUCCCCACAAGUUGCUUGAGAUCCUGAACAGUGAGGUUUUUAAUGAG